CACAGAUGAUGUGAAGGAAUAUUUGCUGUCUGAGUGUGGUGACGACGUUGAUAUCACCAAGAUGGCUGAUGUG